UGUCCAAACUAACGCCUAGUGCCUCACCC
rnacentral:sRNA from 1 species